rnacentral:rRNA from 1 species
AUUGAACGCUGGCGGCAUGCUUUACACAUGCAAGUCGAACGGCAGCGCGGUCUUCGGCCUGGCUGCUCGUGUCGAACGCGUGAGUAAUGCAUCUGAACAUGCCCCGUUUUGGGGUAUAGCCCCUCGAAAACCGGAUUAAUACCACAUACGACCUGCUCGUGAUAGCGGGGGAGCGAAGGGCCUCUCGCUCUUUUAGCGGCCGAUGCCGGAGUAGCUAGUUGGUGGGGUAAUGGCUUACCAAGCCGACGAUCCGUAGCUGGUCUGAGAGGACGACCAGCCACACUGGGAGUGAGACACGGACCAGACUCCUACGGGAGGGCGCAGUGGGGAAUGUUGGACAAUGGGGGCAAACCUGAUCCAGCGAUGGCGCGUGCGGGAAGAAGGCCUUCGGGGUGUAAACAGCUUCUGUUGGGGAAGAAAUGCUCUGGGCUAAUACCACGGGGGGAUGACGGUACCGGAAGAAUAAGCACCGGCUAACUACGUG